GAGGGCAGGAGGGCGGCCCUCAGGGGGGAUGGCGUUCCCUGGAGCUGCGUCCCCCCCGGGGAGAGGCUGUCUCUGCCUCCCAGCUUCUACGGCGCUCUGUCUGCUGCCGUGCCCGUCGCCGCCCGCGUGCGGGCGGGGGGUGUUACUGUUGCACUACCUCUCCCCCUGCUGUGGGGUGACUUUUAUUGGCAGACUUCAAGGUUGCUUCCAACCAUAUGCUUACAAUAGAAACAGAGCUACACCCCGGGUUGUCAGCCAUGCUUGCAGCUUUGUCGGUCUGUAUCACAGAGAAAGAGCAGAUGGAUUCAGCAUAUGAUCUGUGGCUUAAAAGAAAUCAGAUUUGUUUACCUUCUGAUUAAAGUCCUUUCAAAAAUGCAGAUUGCAAGGUACAUGGAGGUCUCUCUAUAUGUUUGUAUGGAGCACAAAACGAUUGGAUCCAAUCCUGGUUGUAACCUUUACCUGCCACCGUAAUACAAAUAACUCUGCAGCUUUUCCUGCAAUACCAGAAAGCCUGUUUGUAUCACAGCUGCUAUUCUGCUCUACCAACCACAUCUCCAGGGCAACAUGGCAUUCGCAGGCAAAUACGAAUUCGAAGGCGAUGAGAACUAUGAUGACUUUGUGACGAAGAUUGGUCUCCCCAGUGACAAGAUUGAAAUGGGAAGGAAUUGCAAAAUAGUCACUGAGGUGGUGCAGAACGGAAAUGACUUCACCUGGACGCAGCAUUUCCCAGGAGGCCGCACCACGACCAACACGUUCACGAUUGGCAAGGAAGCAGACAUGGAGACAAUGGGUGGUAAAAAGUUCAAGGCAACUGUUAAAAUGGAAGAUGGGAAAAUAGUAGCUGAGUUUCCCAACUAUCGUCAUACUGCAGAGAUUUCUGGAGGAAAGCUAGUAGAGAGUCUGCUGUUGGACUUAAUCUGCCCCAACUCCACCCAUGACACAACAGCACACACAGAACCCAAAAGUCAACAGACAAUUCCUGCUUAGAAGAUGCAGUCACCAGAAAAAAGACUGAACGUACAACUGCAUUCUCCUGUGCAGCCUUUCAACCUCCUCAGUAAAGCAACCGA